AGUGAACGCUGGCGGUAGGCCUAACACAUGCAAGUCGAACGGCAGCACAGGAGAGCUUGCUCUCUGGGUGGCGAGUGGCGGACGGGUGAGGAAUACAUCGGAAUCUACUCUGUCGUGGGGGAUAACGUAGGGAAACUUACGCUAAUACCGCAUACGACCUACGGGUGAAAGCAGGGGACCUUCGGGCCUUGCGCGAUUGAAUGAGCCGAUGACGGAUUAGCUAGUUGGCGGGGUAAAGGCCCACCAAGGCGACGAUCCGUAGCUGGUCUGAGAGGAUGAUCAGCCACACUGGAACUGAGACACGGUCCAGACUCCUACGGGAGGCAGCAGUGGGGAAUAUUGGACAAUGGGCGCAAGCCUGAUCCAGCCAUACCGCGUGGGUGAGGAAGGCCUUCGGGUUGUAAAGCCCUUUUGUUGGGAAAGAAAUCCAGCUGGCUAAUACCCGGUUGGGAUGACGGUACCCAAAGAAUAAGCACCGGCUAACUUCGUGCCAGCAGCCGCGGUAA
rnacentral:rRNA from 1 species